rnacentral:tRNA from 62 species
GCGCGGGUGGCGGAAUGGCAGACGCGCUAGCUUGAGGUGCUAGUCCUCGAAAGGGGGUGGGGGUUCAAGUCCCCCUCCGCGCACAA